rnacentral:rRNA from 1 species
GCAAGUCGAGGGGUAACAUUGGUGCUUGCAUCAGAUGACGACCGGCGCACGGGUGCGUAACGCGUAUAGAACCUACCUUUUACAGAGGGAUAGCCUUUAGAAAUGAAGAUUAAUACCUCAUGGCAUUGAGAUUUGGCAUCAAAUUUUAAUUAAAGAUUUAUCGGUAAAAGAUGGCUAUGCGUCUUAUUAGCUAGAUGGUAAGGUAACGGCUUACCAUGGCAACGAUAAGUAGGGGCCCUGAGAGGGGGAUC